CCACAAGUCCUGGGGGAGGUCUAUUCUAUGAAAGCCCAGAGCCUCAACCUAUGUGUAGCAGCCUGGGUCAUCUUGGGCUCUUUGGUGCCGGUCGAUCUCCCCGCUGUCUCUGGACUGUCUGUCAGCCGUUGUGGACACCCCUCUUCUCUCAUGGACCCAGAGAAAUGAAUUUAUGGUACACCCUCCAGAACAUGGGAGCGAUACCAAUGUUUCAGCCAGACAGUUCCAUCCAAGAAUGAACUUCAUACUGUGUCCUAUGAAAUUAAAAGCCUUGUAAAUCCCACUGAGCCAAGCAGGAUAAGG
rnacentral:lncRNA from 1 species